GGGGACGUAGCUCAGUUGGGAGAGCACUUGCCUUGCAAGCAGGGGGUCGUCGGUUCAAAUCCGAUCGUCUCCACCA
rnacentral:tRNA from 1 species